rnacentral:lncRNA from 1 species
GAUAGAUUCAGAGGCUGGCUGUAAACAGCUUCCGAUGCUAACAGGGUUGAGGACAAGGAGGGGACAGAAAAUAGAAAUUGCCAUAUCAUUCUCUUUAGAGUCUUGACCAAGGGCAACCUGUUCCUGACAGGGUCAGCAAAGCUGUGCUUCCUCCUCUGAUGGGUUUGUAAGCCUGGCAGAGAGAAGAAAGCGAGGAGAAGGAAUGCUGGUUCCUCUGCCAGCCAGCUCUGUUUAUGAAAUUCCUGAUUGUCUCCAGAAACGAGAGGAAAGCUAAGUGCUUGGUGCAAAGCUGUCUGAGAAGACAAGGCUGAAAGAGGCUCGUCAGAAACUCCACACUCCAAGACUGGAAAGAGAGCGUUCAGUGGUUAAGAGCACCUGCUGCUCUUGCAGAGGGUCUGGGUUGGAUUCCCAACACCCACAUUGCAGCUCACAGCCUCCUCUAGCUCCAGUUCCAGGGGAUCAGGCAUCUUCUGGCCUCCUCAGACACCAGGCACGGAGCAAUCUCUGUCAAGAUGUGUGUGCCCGAGUCUCUCCACUUCCAAAAUGGAAACAGCAAGGAGCUUGGAACCAGCAAAGAAUAAACAUCUUAAGAAGACUGCACAGCUCAGCUUGGAACUGCUGGAGAAAGGCAGCCUUUAAGCCUGUGUGUUUUCUUCUUGACGUUCGGUUUUGUGGCAACAAGCACCGAUCAUGCCCCACUGACUCAAGCAUUCCUGGGUCUUGCUCCUUCAUUAGAUGGUGAGCACUCUCAGGGCUGUGUGUCAAGACCUGACGGUUCUAGCCCACGGUCUUCACAUUGCGGACUCUCUGCUGCUCGCUGUUGCCACCGUGAAUUCUGCUACGCUUUUCUGCUGUGAUGGACUGAAGCUGCCCUGACAGUGAUCACAAUAAAUCUCUCCUCUCUCAAGUUAUUUCUGCCAGAUGAACGUGGAAAGGAACACUUUUGAUAAGCAACAAGACACAGAUAGCCUAUCAGAUGUGGGAAUGAAGUGCGGAAAACCCAAAAUCAUUUAGCAAAUGGAUUGAAGCUAGCCAGAAUUUCACCAGUCCAGGGAGAGCACAAAGGGGAGUUAGCCUCUGCCGAACCAAGCUGCCUUGCUGAAGGCUCUGCCUGUCUCUGAGGAAGCCAGGGUAAAAGGCCUGUCUCCUAUCUCAUUAGGGAUGCUCUGAAGGAGCAGUAUUUCCUGAGAGCUGGUGAGGUGGCGAUACAUUCUGCUGUUGCCACGGACGUUCAGCCUCCAAGAUGGAUGCAGUUUUGUACUACUACUGUAGGAUCUGACGGAAAAUAAUGAAUGAUUAAUAAAUGAACAGAUGGAAGAUACCUCAUGAACUUAAAUCCUGUAAUUGCAAGAGGGGUAAAAAUCGGCCUCCACCCUAACAAAUACAGACUUCCAUCUGCAGGCAAGUGGGGCCAUGGGAUCUGCUAACAUGCAGAAGGAAGAUAGCAGCUCUUUGUGAACUCUCGGGCCUGCUGCACAAUAAGCCAGAACAACACAGAGACAAGAUGCUUUGGAACGUCUGGGAGUCUCUGCUGUCUUAUUACAUACAAGGACCCUGGCAUUUCCUGCUAAUUCAAAGGAAGAGAAGAAAAUUAGUGCCUGUUCUUCAUCAUGUCUGUGAAACUGGAGCCAAAAAUGGAUUUUUUUUGGAUCACACAUCUCCUGUCUCCUGCUGCCGGUGAUGAAGCUGCCAGCCCCACGCCAGUGGGCGGAAAUAGAUACCAGCCCUGGAGGAAGUACUGACUGCUUAUGGGCGCCUGCCACCCUCCCUGCUUCCUCCUCUUCGUGUGGAAGGAAACCGUGGGCUUUCCUGGGCAUUUUUUCUUAUUCUCUUAAUACAGGGGAACUGAAGCAUUUGGCUUUGGUUGUUUGGAUAGUGAAUCUCAGCUUGGAGGGCUUUCCAGAAAGCAGGCGGCUCCGGUCUCUGAACUCUAACUCCGUUUCUCCACCCCCCUUCCGGUGCUGUGCAGUUCUUUCCAAUUCCUGAAUUGACAUGUACAGUACUAGAAAACCUGCAGAGAGCGCCUGGAGGUCACAGCCUGCAUGAGCUUUCAAGCUGGAGAGGGCUAAGUGGAAGGAAGACACUGCACCCCUGGGAUUUCCUCCUGCAAAUGAGAUGAAAUCUAUAUAAAUGUACUCUUUCCCGUCUCAUACCUUUUAUUCGAUUUGCAUACCACGGAUCCGAUGACAACUCUCUUGAAAAGUGCUCCUUUGACUGUUUCAGCCACAGCGGUUCAUGCAAAGAAACUAAAUCUUGGAAAGGAAGGGGCUAACCCCUCCCCAUGCUUGUGCUCAGGAACCACAUGAUGACCAUGACAGACCAUGACCAGGACAUCGGAACUUGUGUAUGAGAGAUCAGGGCCUCUUCCAGGCUGUGGGUAGGACUGGCAUGACUGAGAACCCUGCCUUCAGAGUCCUCUGACCCUGCUCAGUUCCUACAGCUAUCUCCAAGCUCUUGUGCUAUGAAACCCCUUUGUUUCUCUAUCUGAACUGUGGCC